ACCAUACUACCUCUCCAUAGUUAGGGAUG
rnacentral:piRNA from 1 species